CUGGGGAGUAAAUAAUUGGAUUGCCCUCAAGAAGUACAUCAAAAUUGAAGUUGACUGGAUGACGUGUUAAGGAUAGAACUGAAUGGAGAGAGGAACGAAAGCCCAGAGGGUGUGGAGGGAAGGGGAUUCAUACUUUCAAAAUGUAAUUAGGACAGGGGAGGAGAUCCCUGGGGAAAAUAUAUAAAAGACUAGCACCAGCUGAUUUUCAUUGAUUCCAGCUUAAAGAAGAGAUUCCCACUGCAGCUGUGUUCCUGGCUGAUCAACCUCUUGUGAGAACAUCAAAGUCAAAACCUCUAGGAAAAGGAACUUUCUCAACAUGGCAGAGAUGUUUUACUAUUUCAGAAGACAAACUGUAGAAAGAAGUGACAAAGUUGUGGAAGAGGGAGAAAAGAAAGAACUGCAGAAAGAGAAGGUAUCAGGAAACCUCUCUGGAGACGAUCAAGACAUCUCCUCAGGCUCCAUGGUGGCCAUGGUAGUUAGAAGUGAUCCAGAGAAGAGUAGAAGUGAAGAGAGCUCUGAGGAACAGUUCAUCUUGGCACCCGAGUUUGUCCCAGGACAUAUGGAACACUUGGAAGAUGCCCUCAUGUGUCCUGAACUGCCAACUGACUACAAGACUUAUGCCAGUGACUAUAACAGCAGUGAUGACAGUGAGGGUGACCAUUCUAUGCCUCCCCAGAAACAACUGCAGAAAGAAAAUGAAUCGGCACAGCUAUCUGAAGACAUGUCCUCAGGCUCCACGUUGGCCAUCGAUGACGCAAUGGUAGUUAGUAGUGAUCCAGAGAAGAAUGGAAGUGAAGAGAGCUCCGAGGAAGGAUUCAUCUUGGCACCCGAGUUUGUCCCGGGACAUAUGGAACACUUGGAAGAUGCCUUGAUGUGUCCUGACCUCCCAACUGUCUACCACACGUAUGCCAGUGACUACAGCAGCAGUGAUGACAGUGAAGGUGACCAUUCUAAUGAUGGCUACAAGAACCACGGCAGCAGCAGUGAUCAAAGUGACAAUCACUGCCAUGAGGCUGACGGCAGUGAUGUCUGCAACAAUGACAAUGAAACAAGAAAUGGACCCUGGUGACUUGCACCUUCACAUCCUCCAGAGUAAGGUAGAAUACAACUACACAAAGGUGGUUGAAGGAAAUGGAAAAUCUGUAGAAAGGAAAGAGGAGCAGGAAGAAGAGCACAAAGAGUCCAAAGCAAGAAGUCGAUGGAAAGAUCGGGAAGAUUCACCCUCAGGCUUCACUUUGGUUGAUGACAUCUCCAUGUCUACUUUAAGAGACCCAGAAAUAGGUGCUACAAAUGAACAGAGUUUUAAUGAAGACAUCUUUGACGUUCAUGAUAAUCUUCUCUUAAUUCCCAGUCCGGCUCUUGUUGAAAGAGUGAAACCUGAGCCCUGUGCCAGAUGCUGUCCAUGUUUUUGCUUUCCUUGCUUUCCCUGUUUUCAUAGAGUUUGGAAAUGGCUGGUGACAAUUUUCAAUGUGAGCAAGAAAGCGCAGGUAGCCAAUGGGCACUCAGAUUCUAGAGCCCGCCAGUGAUUUGCAAUGAUGCUAUCAAGGAGUUGAUGGUGACAACUAUUUGCACAUUGAUUUCUGGGGUUUUCCUUGAAUUCUCUUCCCCUUUUUAUUUUCUUUUUCCCAAGUGGCUAGCUGGGAAGAAGCCAGGUCUUGACACUAGGGAAGCCAGCUUCUCCCUUUUUGAGGUCACUUUUAAGAGGACUAUAACUACAUGUUCAGACCCACCUCCAAACAAUAAUAGUAAAUGUAACAAUUACACAGAAAAACUCAUUCUCAAUGAAUGCCAAUUUGAAGAUACAGGAGGUUACUAAGUUUUGCUGACAUUUCCCUUUCAUCCUUUUUGUAACAGUCAUUUUUAAUUUGAAAUGCUUGUCUGGGAGGGGAUGCUGGAAGAAUUCUGGUGACGGAGAAAAACAUUUCAAUAAAAUCUAUUUUUGCACACUAUCUUUGUAUGUGGUUACUGCUUCAGUGUUU
ensembl:lncRNA